AGGAGCCCAGAGCCUGAAUCAGUGUGUGUGUUAGUGGAAGCGUCUGGAAAGGCGCGCGAUACAGGGUGACAGCCCCGUACACAAAAAUGCACAUGCUGUGAGCUCGAUGAGUAGGGCGGGACACGUGGUAUCCUGUCUGAAUAUGGGGGGACCAUCCUCCAAGGCUAAAUACUCCUGACUGACCGAUAGUGAACCAGUACCGUGAGGGAAAGGCGAAAAGAACCCCGGCGAGGGGAGUGAAAAAGAACCUGAAACCGUGUACGUACAAGCAGUGGGAGCACGCUUAGGCGUGUGACUGCGUACCUUUUGUAUAAUGGGUCAGCGACUUAUAUUCUGUAGCAAGGUUAACCGAAUAGGGGAGCCGAAGGGAAACCGAGUCUUAACUGGGCGUUAAGUUGCAGGGUAUAGACCCGAAACCCGGUGAUCUAGCCAUGGGCAGGUUGAAGGUUGGGUAACACUAACUGGAGGACCGAACCGACUAAUGUUGAAAAAUUAGCGGAUGACUUGUGGCUGGGGGUGAAAGGCCAAUCAAACCGGGAGAUAGCUGGUUCUCCCCGAAAGCUAUUUAGGUAGCGCCUCGUGAAUUCAUCUCCGGGGGUAGAGCACUGUUUCGGCAAGGGGGUCAUCCCGACUUACCAACCCGAUGCAAACUGCGAAUACCGGAGAAUGUUAUCACGGGAGACACACGGCGGGUGCUAACGUCCGUCGUGAAGAGGGAAACAACCCAGACCGCCAGCUAAGGUCCCAAAGUCAUGGUUAAGUGGGAAACGAUGUGGGAAGGCCCAGACAGCCAGGAUGUUGGCUUAGAAGCAGCCAUCAUUUAAAGAAAGCGUAAUAGCUCACUGGUCGAGUCGGCCUGCGCGGAAGAUGUAACGGGGCUAAACCAUGCACCGAAGCUGCGGCAGCGACGCUUAUGCGUUGUUGGGUAGGGGAGCGUUCUGUAAGCCUGUGAAGGUGUGCUGUGAGGCAUGCUGGAGGUAUCAGAAGUGCGAAUGCUGACAUAAGUAACGAUAAAGCGGGUGAAAAGCCCGCUCGCCGGAAGACCAAGGGUUCCUGUCCAACGUUAAUCGGGGCAGGGUGAGUCGACCCCUAAGGCGAGGCCGAAAGGCGUAGUCGAUGGGAAACAGGUUAAUAUUCCUGUACUUGGUGUUACUGCGAAGGGGGGACGGAGAAGGCUAUGUUGGCCGGGCGACGGUUGUCCCGGUUUAAGCGUGUAGGCUGGUUUUCCAGGCAAAUCCGGAAAAUCAAGGCUGAGGCGUGAUGACGAGGCACUACGGUGCUGAAGCAACAAAUGCCCUGCUUCCAGGAAAAGCCUCUAAGCAUCAGGUAACAUCAAAUCGUACCCCAAACCGACACAGGUGGUCAGGUAGAGAAUACCAAGGCGCUUGAGAGAACUCGGGUGAAGGAACUAGGCAAAAUGGUGCCGUAACUUCGGGAGAAGGCACGCUGAUAUGUAGGUGAGGUCCCUCGCGGAUGGAGCUGAAAUCAGUCGAAGAUACCAGCUGGCUGCAACUGUUUAUUAAAAACACAGCACUGUGCAAACACGAAAGUGGACGUAUACGGUGUGACGCCUGCCCGGUGCCGGAA
rnacentral:rRNA from 1 species